AAGACGGGUGGUAGAGGGCCAUUAUGCCAACGCCCUAAGCGUAAAGGUGCCCGAAGGCCCGCUCUUGCGAGUACGCUGCUGUCCUCGGUCUCGGUCGCUGUAUCCAGUAGGAGGCUAUAACACACCCCGAGAGGUGCCACGUUCCUCCUACCCUUCUCCAGUGCCCAAAACCGACGUUGGCCUGCAAUCUGGGAAAAACACCAAGCAAAAGCAAGGCUGAAUCCCAGGCCGCAUCUCUGACCUCCUACCCUUCCCUUUUGGCAAUUUCACGUACUGUUUAACUCUCUUUUCAAAGUUCUUUUCAUCUUUCCAUCACUGUACUUGUUCGCUAUCGGUCUCUCCCCAAUAUUUAGCCUUAGAUGGCAUUUACCACCCAUUUUGAGCUGCAUUCCCAAACAACUCGACUCUUAGAAAGCGUAUCACAAAGCCUCGGGCGCUCCAAGCCAUGUACGGGAUUAUCACCCUCUAUGAUGCCCCUUUCCAGGGGACUUAGGCUUGGUCCGAAGCGGAAAACACUUCUUGAGAUUACAAUGCGGACGCCGAAGACGCCAGCUUUCAAUCUUGGGCUCUUCCCUCUUCACUCGCCGUUACUAGGGGAAUCCUUGUUAGUUUCUUUUCCUCC
rnacentral:rRNA from 1 species